CCUCUCAACACCUCUCACUUCCACGCUGUGUCUCUGCAUGCUCCCAAACUCUUUGCUGCCUCUCUCCCUUACUCAGAAUUCAGGUCAGAAGAGCAGCUGCUAAAGUGAGAUGUUUUUCCUCUGCAGGGUCACGCGCAAGGUGGAUACAGGAAACAAACCUACGGGAUCCACUGCUGCUGGAGCAGCUUGUCUCCACCUCUUGCGAUGUUAAGUAUAGCAUUGCCAUGUGCUUUUGUAUAGGUAGUACGCUCCACUGGAAGAGGAUUAUAAUUUUGAUGGUGUAUAUAUGAUUCUAAUCGAUGAAAUACAGAAAAUGAGCCACAAGGAAAGCGAUACAAUCUGCAAGUAUCUGCAAGUAACUUUCUGUUCAGAAGAAUGGAAAAUGAUGUGAAUUUCAACUGUCACGCUUCUAAGAAGGGGUCCCUUUCUUGCUGCUGUACACGGUUGUAGAUUCUCCUGCGCAACAGUUUUCUGCCAGUGAUCUAACCUGACCUAACUACUCCAGCAAAUAGCAAUCCUCCUGCUGCCGAAUAGAAAAAAAAUUCUCACUCUCGAACAUCAAUUCUAACUGGAGCGAGCUAGAGGAUACUUCACCAGUCUAUCCAUAAUAGAAGAUACACCAUUGUUUUCUGUUGUGGGAACUGUCCUGCAGAGGAAUGGUUGGGCCUAAUAUCUGAUACACUGUUUCACUUGCAGAAGCAGAUCAACUUCAGUAGCUAAAAAAGCUUAUAAACUUUCUCUAAUAGUGGCUACUAAUCAGAUGUUAUUAUUUUUAGGCAAGAUUUUUAAAAAAUCCAGAUUUUGGAUGUCUACUAUUCUCUCUCAUGUGUUUCUGUUACCAAAAGUUUCAGUAAAAAGGUCAAGGACUGGAGAAAUUUGAAAACUGAAUUCUUCCUUUCUCCAUGGCCCCUCAACCAGCUUUUUACAUCAAGGCUGUGGCUGACAGACAGGUUUGGUUUAACUACCUGUGCUUCCUCUCUCAUGCAGGAUCUGCUUCAGAUCUCUGGCUAGCAAAGGCUUUGCUGUGCAGACUACGUAGAGAUGAUGUAGAGCCAUCAUAAGAAUGAACAUGCUAGUUCAGACCAAGGAUUCAUCUAGCCUGGUACCUUGUCUCCAUUGGCCAGAAGCGGAUGCCCAGAAAAAAGUAAAAAUAGGACUCUUUCUGACACUACACAAAUUGCGGAGAAGACUGUUCAUCUUAGGGUUCACAGUGGCUUGUGCAAGUCGAAGCCAUGACUUUUGCUCUCGUCACUAAUACCCACCCUUGAAGAAGAUGGGAAUGAUGGGAACUGCUUAUUCUCAUUCUUUUUUUUUUCCCCAAGAGGUGGGCGAAUGAGCAAAAUCCAAGAGAAGUUUCCUGGGAAGUAGGCGCAAUGGGAUGCUUUGCAGCAGCUCUCAUCCUUUUAGUAGCCUCACUGGAAGGACUCCAGCUCUUGCUUUCAGCCUGUUUUCUAUAAUGAAAAGCUCCAGGGGAAGAUGGUGAUACUAGUGCUGUAUGCUUCUUGGCAGAAAUGUAUUCAAAAGCAUGCAGUGAAUCCGAGCCUCAUCAGAGACACUUGUUUCACAAUUCUGCAGCUAUUAGGCAUCAUCUGCCCACAAAGUGCCUUAUGAUUUUUCCUGAUGCUUUCUAUGUAAGAAGGGAUCUUUUUUUCCUAAGCCCAUUAAAAAAUCCUCCAUUUUCAGCAGUCACCUAUGCACCUUCAUUUUAGCUUUAAUGUCAAACCAUGUAUCUGACUGCACAUCGGUCUUAAAUGAGUAGGUUGUAGGUACACAAAACUGAUCUAGCUUCUAGUCUGUGUUUAGAAAGUGACUCAUUUUUAUGGAGAUCCAGAUCCAGGCAUUUCUGUAUUGUCUAGCCAUGGAUCCCAGCUGGACUCCAUUUCUGUUUUCUUUGUUGAGCUGUUACAGUGCAAAACCCCUGUAUCUGAUCAGUGUUAGUCUUAAGGAGGCAUCACUUGAUACAUACGAAGUGUUACCUGACACAGAUUGUAGGAAAUACUCCAUUCUAUCUAUGUACAUUUUUAAUAGAGAAGUCAGUGCGUUUAGUUGCAUGUGCAAGGAUUAAGCCUUACUGCUUUUUUCCUCCUAUGACGUUAGCCAGUAUUUACAUUGCUUGCUAUUGUGUACCAACAGUAUACCAGAAGUCACUCCUGAAGAUCAAAAAGUGGCCCUAUAUGCAUUUGGCUCAAGGACAACAAGAAAACCUGAAACUCCGCAGGCAAGACAACUCGGCUGAUAGGAGAAAGCGCUCUUCAUUGGGAAUGGCUUUGUUCCUGCAAGUGCUGAGGCUGAGAUCCCGUGCUGUAUUUGUGGAGCCUUUUAUAAUUGAGAAACUCAUUUUAGCAGUGUUUCUGUGCCACUUCCGUUUCUUCUAAAUGGAGAUUCCUCAAAGAAAGGUGUUAAAUGCCUUGUUGUUACUUAAUCCUUCAUGCUCUUGGGCAGGUUUGUGUGCAUAUCUUUCUACUUAGCAAAGAGGAUCUGAAUCUGAAAUGAAAGACGUUAACUCCAGCAGAAACCCGCAAGUGCAGUGGGGUUCAUUGCUUCUGUAGAAAUAGUUUCCCAUGAAGUUUCCUGGAUAUUCAUUUCUGCUUUGUAAAUAACAUAUGCUAAAAGUGAGGGAGUACCAAACUUCUGUGGAGCAUUGCUAAGGAAUAGGACUGGGAAGAAGGACUUUCCGUGGGACGAGAGAGGUAUGGCACUGUGGUCUGGGCUGCCUCACCGUCAUGGGGAUGGCGUUUGUGCUCCCCUUGAGCUCCUGUCUUCUGAUCUCUUUGCAAUUCACGCUGCAAAAUUGUUGGUUAUUGAAAGGAAAGUCUCUUUACCCCUCAUUCUGCCUCUCAUCUCCCCCUCCCCGCCAAAACCCUCAAGCCCUAAUGAGUGCAGAAACAAGAUAACUAUAACCUUUGCAGUGUUGCUCUUUGGAAAUGUGAGGUUUGUGAGGACGCUUGAAAUAUUGGCCCUGCUAACAGUGCAGAUGUUUUUGGCACUUGCUCUCACUACUGUGUUCAACUACUCUUAGAGAAAUUAUUGGCAUAUGAAUACUGAAAAAUAUUGAUGCUAAAUUCUAAGAUCAGACAAAUUGGUGAUACUACAGCUGGCUGGCACAAGGGAUUCCAGUCCUAGGAAAAUGGCUUUGUUUUUCAGAAAUAACAUUUUUCAGAUGAUGGUUUUAAUGUUUUUUGCUUUCUGAUUCAGGCUGAGAUUAGAUUUUAAAAAGAAAAGAAGUCUCAGCAUUAUCUUCCUCCAUGUGGGACAAAAAGGAAAGAGAGGAAUAAGAUAAUGUCAAUAAAACCUUUAGAUAAACAUCUACAGAAAUGACUUUUUUUUUUUCCAAGGGAAGAUUUAAAUUUUUCCUGUAGGAAUCUUUGAUUUCUCCCUAUCCACUGAAAAAGACCUUUUUUUUUCCCUUUUUUUUAGCAUGAGGGAAUUGUUCUGAUGGUCUGAUGCUCUGUCCUGAUCUAAAUGUUUAUUUUAAAUUCUGUAUAGUUCUAAAAGCUGUAUCUUAAGGGUCUACCGAUUUUUUUCUGUUUUUUUUCUUGUGUGUUUUUUCCUGUUUUUUCUUCAUUGAUAGACGGGGUCAUACUCGAAACCCCAAUACAAAUUCUAUCCCUUCAAAAUGAAUGCUAUAAAUAUCUGGAGUCUGAAUGCUCUUCAGCUUAAUACUCCAAAAAUAGUGAUAUUUUCCUGAGGCUCAGUGUAUUAUGUUUAGAAAUAGCGUUAGGUUUGGAGUAAUGACUGAGAUUAUUUCCCACUGCAAAUCUGGGGUCCAAAUCAUUAUUUGAUGGUUUGAUCUAAGUUUCUCUCUGUCACGAGCCUCUGCUGUAGAAGAGCUGCCGUCAAUGCUAUGCUGGAAAGCAGAGAGCUGUGGAGUGUCUCGCUUGAGCUUGGUCAACACCUUUUCUCAUGUAGCCAUGGAGAGCAAUGGAGAUCAGCGAAUGACUUGAUACUCUUGGGUGCAUCCCAUCUGCUGCUGAUGUCUUGUCAGUCCCCAUUUUUGCCUUUGGUAACCUCUUCUACUGACACCUUAUCUGCAGCAGCUCCUCGGGUGACUUACUCAAAAAGGAAGAUUCCAGCAUGAGAGAUAUUCCAUAUCUUUUACAACAAACGCAGAAACACUUCGGCGUUUUUUCCUGUGUAAGAACUGUUCAUUUCUGUGUACUCCCGACUCACCAGUCUCCCCUGAAACCCCAUGCUGUCUGCAAAGAUAUUUAUAAACUCCGAUUUAUUUCUCCUGAGCCACUUGCCAAUCUCUGCAGCAUGUUUCAUAACUUCCUACCAGUGUGAUCCAACUAAUGGUUUUGCAUUUGGCUUUGGAAAAACAUAGCCUUAUCACUACUCUGCUCAGGGCGCAGGCUGCUUCCAGGAUGUACUCAAGCCUCUAGCUGUGUUUUUACUGUCGCAACAGCUCCUGGCAGACUGCGUGUCUCUCACAUUCACUACAAAGUAAACAGGAAUUCUUUCCAAGGGGAACUGGCCGGGCUCCAGGGGAAGAAUGCGAGUUAUUCAUAAGUUCUGAAAAUGGGCAGUUUCUCCAAAGUCGCAUCAGGAGAGCUAGAUCGGGGCAGGCACAGAAUUUUUAACACUGGAUUUUAAGAACCCAACGUGGAAGAUGUCCCACAGCAACUGCAUGCAAUGAAUAAUGGACAUCAGAGCUGGGGUGUGAUCGGUCAGGAGCUGCUGGUUAGUUUGGAUGGAAGGUCUUGAAGCAGAUGACUGGGAAAGUCCUCAAGGCUUCCAGAUGGACUCUGCUUUGUCAUCUGUCCUUGUUUUUGACCAGUCCCACUGUUAUCUGUCCCUAAAGGAUCCUACUCAUUGAUUCUGGUUUGCGUCUAAACCCCAGGAGGUGCUGGUGU